rnacentral:rRNA from 2 species
AGACCGAUAGCGAACAAGUAGAGUGAUCGAAAGAUGAAAAGCACUUUGAAAAGAGAGUUAAACAGCACGUGAAAUUGUUGAAAGGGAAGCGUUGUCCACCAGACUCGCCCGGGGGGGUUCAGCCGGCACGUGUGCCGGUGUACUCCUCUCCGGGCGGGCCAGCAUCGGUUUGGGCGGCUGGUGAAAGGCCCCGGGAAUGUAACACCCCUCGGGGUGCCUUAUAGCCCGGGGUGCCAUACAGCCAGCCUGGACCGAGGCCCGCGCUUCGGCGAGGAUGCUGGCGUAAUGGUGGUCAACGGCCCGUCUUGAAACACGGACCAAG